rnacentral:rRNA from 1 species
ACCCGCUGAAUUUAAGCAUAUCACUAAGCGGAGGAAAAGAAACUAACAAGGAUUCCCUGAGUAACGGCGAGUGAAACGGGAAGAGCCCAGCACCGAAUCCCCCGGCCGUGUGGUUGGAGGGAACUGUGGUGUUUGGGAGUACCUCUGGGGCGGUUGGUGGGCGUUCGAGUCCUCCUGAUUGGGGCUUGACCCUGAGCGGGUGUAAGGCCUCUACAGCACCUGCCACCGUCUCUCUGGAGCUCCCUGGAGUCGGGUUGUUUGAGAUUGCAGCCCAAAGUGGGUGGUAAACUCCAUCUAAGGCUAAAUACAUGCACGAGUCCGAUAGCGAACAAGUACGGUGACGGA